GAGUCUGGUCGGAUAGAUGGUCCCUCAGGGAUUGAUUAUUAUGAACCACAUGCAGAUGAUCCACCGUCAUCCCAAAGUUGGUCCAAAUUGGUUUACAUUGCUUUGUCUGGAUCCGCAAGAUGAGCAUAAGGAGCUUCUGGACGAUAACCCACCUAAACAUGCAGACCCAUCUUGACCCAUUCCUCUCUUAGUAAUUCUGUAGCUGCACAUACUGUCAUGCUUGAAGACAUAUAUUGCACACAGCAAUAGCAGUCAAAGCAGAGCACUUGAUAGCAAAAUGAGCGAAAAAAUGAUCAAAAAUCGAAGCGUCGAAGCAAGUUGAAGGAGCCACACAAGCUACACCUUUUCAUACAAUCAGACCACACGGGUGUGUGAUAGACCAUGUCGAUUUCACAUGAUUGUGCAUUGAACAACAAAAAAUCACAAUUUUUAGGUUUUUCGGGCAUUCUAAUAUGUAUAUAUGACAAAAAUAAAAAGAUAUGAGAGGGGCGUCAAAGAAACUCAAGAAAACAACUCGAAAAAUAUCAUUGAAGUCGACUUUGAAGCAGAUUUCCAUCAAGAUUGAAGAUUCCUAGUUGAUUUCUUAAGAAGUUAUCAUGAGUUUCUUUUAUUCUUUCGAUUAUACUGUAUAUUUGAUUUUUCUCUUUUGAAGCAUGAACUAAUUUUCUGAAUACAUAUGGGAGAUAAACCCUACAAUGAAUUAUGUUGUUUAAUUUC